GUCAGAGUUGUCAUCACAUCAAUCUAGCUACACUUUGUAGAAAAAAGAAGGCUUCGCUACGCGUCUUUAAAAAAUCCCAAAGUACUGCCAACUAUGCGUCAGUCAGCUACAGACGUGGGAGCUGUGCAUGUCUUUGGAGGUGGCACGCAGUCACAGGGAGAACAUGCAAACUCCACACAAAGACAUCGAGCCUGGAGAUCGAAAUCCAAGACCUUCAUAGUGUUCACAGUACCUGGAGCCUAUCCAAGCUGCACUCAGGCGGACAGCAGGGUACACACUGGACAUGUCGCCACCUCAUCGCAGGGCCAACAACUUUUUCCAAAUAUUUUGCUCUUAAUACACCUUCAUCCUUAUCAGCCCAGAAGGCAUAACAAUUUGUCAUAGAUUUUCUAUUAAAAGAUUCUACU